GUGAGACAGGUCGGUCCCUAUCUGCUGUGGGCGUUCGAAACUUGAGGGGGUUCAACUUUAGUACGAGAGGAUUUAGUUGGACGUAGCUCUGGUGUACCAGUUGUCGCGCUAGCGGCACGGCUGGAUAGCUAACUACGGAAAGGAUAAACGCUGAAAGCAUCUAAGCGUGAAGCCCUCCCCGAGAUUAGGUUUCGUAUGUCAUUUGACGAAAGCCCCCUGGAAGACUACCAGGUUGAUAGGCUAGACGUGUAAGCGGAGUAAUUCGUUGAGCAAACUAGUACUAACGGGCGAAUGAUUGGCC
rnacentral:rRNA from 1 species